rnacentral:rRNA from 1 species
UUGUCCGGAAUCAUUGGGCGUAAAGAGCGUGUAGGCGGCCACUUAAGUCCUGCGUGAAAUCUUGCGGCUCAACCGCAAGCGGUCGUGGGAAACUGGGUGGCUAGAGUGCGGGAGAGGAGAGUGGAAUUCCUGGUGUAGCGGUGGAAUGCGCAGAUAUCAGGAAGAACACCCGUGGCGAAGGCGGCUCUCUGGAACGCAACUGACGCUGAGACGCGAAAGCGUGGGGAGCGAACAGG